rnacentral:ncRNA from 4 species
AGCUCAUCCAGAGGGACUGAGGGAACGGCCCGUUGAAGUCCCGGCAACCCUCCUACCGACCGCGAGGUCACGGUGGGGAAGGUGCCAAUUCCGUCUUGUGGCGAAAUGCGCUGCAAGGAAGAUGAGGA